GAGAGUUCUUUUAGCUUGCCCUAACAACAACUACAGUGAUAUAAAGCAUGAGGCUAGGAGGCUGUGGCUGGUUGCUUGAAGAAAAAUUGAUGACUUCCAGGAAAAAAAUACUUGGACAGUCUGCACUCACCUCAUAAUGAAUGAUUCAUCAGGAGAGUUCAUCCCAUUAACAUUCACAGUUAUAAUUACCAGGUACUCUAUAAUCGAACCCAUUAUAUAAGUUGAGAGAUAGGAGGAUGAGAAUGAGGGAUCCGUGGAAAAAGAGAGGAUGAAGCUCACCAAGCCCAUGAAAUCCAGAAUCACUUUGUAGAUAUCAAGACAAAUUGGAUUGCUUUGUCACCUAAAGCAAAAGUAAAGAGGUGACUUCUAGUAAACUCCAGAUCCUAAAUUUCUUUUCGGGAGAGAGCCAGAUAAUCUGGGAGGCUCUAUAAAUACCAGGUCUUUCUUUGAGCUGGGAAUCUGAUUUUCUUUUUUGUAUUGCAUUUGAGUUGGAGAAUGCCAUUUCAAAUACUAAGAAAGGCCUUAUUUAGUAUUAAACAAACAAUUAUCUUU